AACGAACGCUGGCGGCAUGCCUAACACAUGCAAGUCGAACGAAGCCUUCGGGCUUAGUGGCGCACGGGUGCGUAACGCGUGGGAAUCUGCCCCUUGCUUCGGAAUAACAGUUAGAAAUGACUGCUAAUACCGGAUGAAGUCUUCGGACCAAAGAUUUAUCGGCAAGGGAUGAGCCCGCGUAGGAUUAGGUAGUUGGUGGGGUAAAGGCCUACUAAGCCGACGAUCCUUAGCUGGUCUGAGAGGAUGAUCAGCCACACUGGGACUGAGACACGGCCCAGACUCCUACGGGAGGCAGCAGUGGGGAAUAUUGGACAAUGGACGCAAGUCUGAUCCAGCAAUGCCGCGUGAGUGAUGAAGGCCUUAGGGUUGUAAAGCUCUUUUACCAGGGAUGAUAAUGACAGUACCUGGAGAAUAAGCUCCGGCUAACUCCGUG
rnacentral:rRNA from 1 species